rnacentral:lncRNA from 1 species
UUUCGUUCUUGUUGCCCAGGCUGGAGAGCAAUGGCAUGAUCUCGGCUCACUGCAACCUCCGCCUCCCAGGUUCAAGCAUUCUCCUGCCUCAGUCUCCUGAAUAGCUGGGAUUACAGGCGUGUGCCACCACAGCCGGCUAAUUUUUUAUAUUUUUGGUAGAGAUGGGAUUUCACCAUGUUGGUCAGGCUGGUCUCAAACUCCUGGCCUCAAGUGAUCCACCCGCCUUGGCCUCCCAAAGUGCUGGGAUUACAGGCGAGAGCCACCACGCCCCACCAAAAAAAAUAUUCUUUAAUUUUUUUUAAGGUCAGCUUUCCUCCCUGGGCAAAAGAUUUGGAGGCAGUGUGUUUCCUUGCAAGCAGCCAGGUCUGGCCAAGGGCAGGAGGCUUGGGUAUUAGAUAGUCCUGGCUUCAACGCUUUGCUCCGCUGGUUAGAAGCUGGGUGCCCUCGGGAAAAUCACCAAACCUCUCUGGGCUUUGGCUUCCUGCUUUGUAAUAUCAGCAAAUUAUCCUUACCCCACGGGGGGAGUCUGUGUGAAUCGGUGAAGACAGCAUCUAGAAACCACCAAGGGAGACUGGCACCCCGGAGGAGACCCAGACAGGUGAGCCUCUGCCUGCCCCGCUUCCAGCUCUUUCUCGUCACACCUGCUGAAUACCACGCCUGUGACAUUAGCAUGCUCAUUGGAAGUGGGUGCUGGAAUUGUCACUGGCUCUUUCUGAAUCCCAUAGAUGCUGUCCCCAGAGCCUGCAUUUCGGCAUCUGGUUACGCUGUACAUGGUGGCAAAUUUGACAGGUGCCCAUCUCCCAACCCUUUGACCUCUACCUGCCCCCUCUCAGCACUCGUGGUGCAUGAAGCCAUCAUGGGCACCCUUAGCACCCCAAGCUGCUCCCACCUCCCACUUCCUGAGCCCAGUAGCAGGGGCUCAGGCAUCGGUAGAAGGAAAUGCUCUGUAGCUUUUGCAAACUGAUACGGAAAAGAGAGUUUGGGAUAUGGUGGCUCAUGCCUAUAAUCCCAGCACUUUGUGCGGCCGAGGCGGGCAGAUCACUUGAAGUCAGGAGUUCGAGACCAGCCUGGCCAACAUGGUGAAACCCUGUCUCUACUAAAAAUACACAAAUUAGCUGGGUGUGGUGACGGGCACCUGUAGUCCCAGCUACUCGAGAGGCUGAGGCAGGAGAAUCACUUGAACCCAGGAGGCAGAGCUUGCAGUGAGCCGAGAUCGCACCACUGCACUCCAGCCUGGGGAACAGAGCGAGACUUCGUCUCAAAAAAAACAAAAACAAAACAAUAACAACAACAACAACAACAGAACCAAGUGUGGUCCAGGCACACACUAAGUUCGAAUCAGCACCAGCCACUCCUUUCUAUGACACCGGUGGCCCAUUGUUAAAGGCCUGGGCUCAGGCCAAACACACAAUAGCCCCCGGGGUCUAACAGGUCAGGGCGGGGGGUUUGAGAAUUAAUUCACCUCCACACACGCUAUCUGGGCACUUCCCUGUGCCAGGUGUGCUGAGAUGUCCUGAGAUAUCAAAGAAUCCAGCAGGGGUUCUGUUUGAACUCAUGUCUGCAUUGCCAGGGCCUGGAGCACUGCCUGCUGCCUUGAGGGUACCCAGGAACUGUUUGCUGAAUGAAUGUGUGAUGGACAGCUGGCAUGGUGAUGGGCCGUGAAGGCUACAAUGGCUGGGGAGGCAGGCACUGGCUCAGAGCUUCCCAGCAUCUGGGCAGAGGGGAAGACUUUGUUGGGGAACAUUUCAGCAAGGCUUGGGAAUGAUGGAAAGGGUUUCAUAGGCAGGGCUGGAGUGGAGACAAGAAAUAUUCCCGGUGACAGGAACAGCCCGUGCAAAGGCAUGGAGUCAUGUCUUCCAUUUAGGAAACAGUGAGGGAUUCAAGUGUUUGAGCCUGAGAGCAAGAGCAUGGUGGUGGGAGGUGCGUGGACAGACGGGCUAGGAGCUUGCUAGAGUGACAGGAUGCCAUACUAGGUACUAGGGAGCCAUCGAAGGUUCUUUUUUGUUUGUUUGUUUUUGAGACAGGGUCUUGCUCUGUCACCCAGGCUGGAAUGCAAUGGCAUGAUCUCGGCUCACUGCAACCUCCGACUCCUGGGUUCAAGAGAUUCCCC